rnacentral:rRNA from 1 species
GAUGAACGCUGGCGGCGUGCCUAAUACAUGCAAGUCGAGCGAACAGACGAGGAGCUUGCUCCUCUGACGUUAGCGGCGGACGGGUGAGUAACACGUGGAUAACCUACCUAUAAGACUGGGAUAACUUCGGGAAACCGGAGCUAAUACCGGAUAAUAUAUUGAACCGCAUGGUUCAAUAGUGAAAGACGGUUUUGCUGUCACUUAUAGAUGGAUCCGCGCCGCAUUAGCUAGUUGGUAAGGUAACGGCUUACCAAGGCGACGAUGCGUAGCCGACCUGAGAGGGUGAUCGGCCACACUGGAACUGAGACACGGUCCAGACUCCUACGGGAGGCAGCAGUAGGGAAUCUUCCGCAAUGGGCGAAAGCCUGACGGAGCAACGCCGCGUGAGUGAUGAAGGUCUUCGGAUCGUAAAUCUCUGUUAUUAGGGAAGAACAAAUGUGUAAGUAACUAUGCACGUCUUGACGGUACCUAAUCAGAAAGCCACGGCUAACUACGUG